rnacentral:misc_RNA from 1 species
CAUCCACCAGGCGGCGGCGGCGCCAACACACAGGGCAUGGGCGCGGUGGCGGGUGCGCAGCCCGGAUGACGCGAGGGCACGACCCCUAGCACGCGGGCACGUGGUCCCGGCAGCGCGCGCGCACAACUCCUGUGGCACGAGGGCUUGCGACCCCGGCGGUGCGCGUGGCUGGCGCUUGCGACGGCCCGUCCACGGCGGCGGCGCGCGCUGGUGUGGCCAGUGUAGCCCCCCCCCCCCGGCGGCACGCGCGGGCGGCUCGGCGCGGGUGCGGCUCGGCGGCGCGCAGUCCCGGCCAAGCAGACGACGGCGCGGCUCCGCGGGCGCGCGGCCCCGGCAGCCUCAGCCUAGGCGGCGCGGGGCGCGGUGGCCUAGCCACAGCAGCACGGGGCACGGCUUGCAGCGCGGGCGCGGCCCCUCGGGCGCGGAUCCGCAGGCGUGGCCUCCCCGGCUGCUCGGGCGCGAUGGCGGCGCGGGCGCGACCCGCGAUGGAGGCACGAGCGCGACCCGCAGUGGCGGGCGCGGCCCCAGGCCCCGACUACAUGGCGCGGCGGUGAGGCACCGGUGGCCCGGGCGCGGCACCACGCAGCGUGGCGGCCCCCGGCCUCGUCGGCUCGGGCGCGAGCCUCCCCGCGGCACCAAAAGGAGCGCAGCCGCGACUCCCUGCAGCGCAGCGCGGCGGCCCCUAGCAGCACGGGCUGCUCGGCUGCCCAACGCGGGCACGCGGCGCCCCGGCUGCACAGCCAUGGUGCCCCGUCGAGGUUGCAAGCGCGAGCACGCUGCCCCGACUCGCGCGCGGACGAGUCCGGCGCAUGCUCCAGCGGGUGCGGGCAGCAUCCGGCGGCGGCGGGAGCGACCCCGGCUGCGCACAGCCUCGACCGGCGCGCGGCAACGGAGCCCCGACGGCGCGCCGGCUCGGGCGCGCUAGCAACAGCGUCUGGUCGGGCGCUGCGGCCCCGCUUUCUGUGCAGGACGCACAGCCCAGCGGCGGUGCAGGCAGCCGCGGGGCAGGGUUGCCACGCGCAUUGCACAUGGAGUUUGCAGGCACCGCCGUGGGGUUCCGGGCCCACACACGUACACGAACAUUGUCCACGCGCAUUGCAUGUAGAUUGCAUGUAGACGUAGGUAAUAACAUCCUGAAAUACUUACGAUGUUCAUGCUUUUGAUCCUUUCUUUUUUUUUCAUUUGGUUCUGAUGGCCGACGCUAUCAUUUUCUCCUGUUCUCGCGCGCUGCACGCAUACGAGGGCAGAUAUGUUCUGGAACCGCUCGUUCAUGGCAGUGUCACGGCCUUCUCCUCUCGCUCGGUGGAAAGCAGGUGCUGAUAACGUGUUGGAAUAAGUGUUGGAAUAAGUGUAAACGAGACACAGAGAGUAGAAAGGAAAUGACAGUUGUAAGUCUUUAUUGUAGUGAAACAUUGAUUAUAUACAGACUGCAGGGGUACUUUCCCAAGGGGUGCGACCCUUGGGUUAGUAACCCAUCGGAUGAGUUUGAUCACAUGUG